rnacentral:rRNA from 1 species
UGGAGAAUUGAGGGGGGCUGCUCCUAGUACGAGAGGACCGGAGUGGACGCAUCACUGGUGUUCGGGUUGUCAUGCCAAUGGCACUGCCCGGUAGCUAAAUGCGGAAGAGAUAAGUGCUGAAAGCAUCUAAGCACGAAACUUGCCCCGAGAUGAGUUCUCCCUGAGACUUUAAGUCUCCUGAAGGAACGUUGAAGACGACGACGUUGAUAGGCCGGGUGUGUAAGCGCAGCGAUGCGUUGAGCUAACCGGUACUAAUGAACCGUGAGGCUUAACCUUAC